CUUAAAACAGGAAGAGUCAUCUGGUUAUUCAGUGGGCCCAGUUUAAUCACAUGAACCUUUAAAUGUUGAAAACUUCCUCCAGUGGCACCACAAGGGAAAAUUAGGGAUCACAAUCAUGAGAAAGAUUCCUAGUCUUUUGCUCACUAUUCAAGGAUCAGAGGGAGAGAGGCCUUGAGGAGCAAGAGCACCCCCAGCUGACCCCUGCAAGGACCUGGGAAUCUUAGGCCUACGAGCUCAAAGGACAGGAUCUGCUCACACCCAAGGCCUGGAUGCAGGUUCUUCUGGAGCCCGAUAAGAGCCCAGUGGCCAACUCCUUGAUUUUGUCCUCAGAGUUCCAGGACAGAAAAAUUAGCAAGGGACCCAGACUCUUGGCCUACAGAACUGUAAGAUAAUAAGUUGGUGUUGUAUUACGCCACUAAAUCUAUGAUCAUUUGUUACAGCAACAAUAGAGAGAUAAUAAAGAGGCACUGGAUUAGGCAAAGAUUUCUUAGAUAAGAUAAAAAGCAUGAACAACAUGAGGGGGAACAGAUCAAAUAUAACUUCAUGAAAAUUAAAAACUCUGAAAUCUGGAAGAUACUUCUAGCAAAGACUUAAAACUAUUUACAAAACACAUAGCUGAUAAAGGACUUGAAUCCAGAAUAUAUUUUUUAAAAAAUCUUACAACUCAAAAAUUAAGAUGAAAAAAUCCUCAGGUUUUUUUAAAGUGGAGAGAGCAGAAAACUGGAGCAGACAUUCAAUCAAAGAAGAUAUACAAAUGGCAAAUUAAGCACAGAAAGGAUGCUCAACCUCACAGACAUUGGGGAAAUGCAAAUUAAAGGCCCAUGAGAUACCAUUACAUAUCUAUUUGCAUAACUAAAAUUAGCAAGACCGACAAUUCUAAGAGCAGGGAUCAAACUCGGAACCUUGCGCUUGUGAGGCAGGUGGUGGAACCACUGAGCUAAAUCUAGACCUCCUUGGCUCUGAUUACCCUUCUUGGUGGAAAGGAGCCCUUUUCAGAAAGAUUGGGAAUGGCACCCCCCCCCCCCAAUGCCUGCUGCAGCCCAGCUGCGCAGGAACUUCCAGAAUGAGAUCCAAGAACACCCAGGCUUGAGACUCCACGGAUCCUGCUGCUCAAGCAGCUGCCAGAACCACAUGGAAGAACUCACGGUCCAGUUGUUACGUUUAUUUUGCCAGCUGUGUGGGGUGGAAUAAGUGCAAGAGAGAGCUAAUGACUCCGAACUGCUAACCAUCGGUAGUCUUCCAAAGGCUUCUGCAGACAGUUGUUUCUUUUAGGCUACCAUAUUUUAUUGUGUCUAAAACAUCACAGAUUGUAUAUGAGGAAACACUGUAAGUUAAACUACGACACUUUUUCUUACUUUUUCUUUCUCUUCUUUCUUUUUCUUUCUCUCCUUCCGUCUUUCCUCCCCCCCCCCCUUGAUUGAAUCCAGGGCCUUCAUAAGUUGCAUUCUGUUUACCUUCUUUCUUUCUUUCUUUUUUUUUUUUUUUUUAACAAAAUCUUACUAAGUCAC
rnacentral:lncRNA from 1 species